rnacentral:misc_RNA from 1 species
UCUGGUCAGUACUUUGUCUCGUUACGCCUUGGUUCUCCCCCUCAGACUCUGCUCUUAGUUGCCGAUACAGGCAGCGAUCUUGUCUGGGUCAAAUGUUCCGCCUGCAAAAACUGUUCCAACUACGCCCCAGGAUCUGCAUUCCUGGCUCGCCACUCCUCCACAUUCUCCCCAAUUCACUGUUUCAACUCGCUGUGUCAAUUCGUUCCCCAACCCCGCCCCAAUCCUUGUAACCAC